rnacentral:lncRNA from 1 species
GCUUUAAUUUGCACACUUGCCUCCGGGUAGUUCUUUGGCCUGGAGGCUCGCAGGCCCACGCCCUGCCGUCCUCCACUCCGGCCCCCAGCCGGGGCCAGAGCCCGAGGCACCCGAGCCUCCCCGGCUACCCCGCGGGCGGCGCCCUCCGCCCUCCGCAGCUGUGCCCACCCCCUGCCCGCAGAGCGCAGCUCGCCUGGGCCUCAGUAGUCAGUUACCUGCUCCGCGGGGCGAACACGAGCGGGGGCAGACAGACACUCCAGCUUCGCAGGAGGCCAGCGCCCCUGGACCGCAGCCUUCCAGUUCAAAUGCACACCUUGGGCAGGAGCAUCCCAGGGCUCGGCGGCGC